UCCCAGCAGUCCGAGUCGCAGCCACAAUUAUUGGGUCUAAAACAUCCGUAGCUUGCUUUGUAAGUCUUUUGUCAAAUCGGGAAUCUUAAGUUUCCGGCGAGCAAAAGAUACUGCAGAGCUUGAGACCGGGAGACGUAACGAGUACGCAUGGAGUAGCGGUAAAAUGUGUUGAUCCUAUGCGGACUAACAACAGCGAAGGCACGUUACGAGCACGGAUCUGACAGUGAGGGAUGAAGGCUAGGGGC
rnacentral:rRNA from 1 species